CACACACACUCACACGCACACACUCUCACACACACACACACACACACACUCACGCACGCACUCUCUCACACACACACACACACACACUGUAAAGGAUGGGGUUGUUUUGUGCGCUCAACGGAUGAACAGAGUGGGAAUGGAAUUUAAGGGGGAUACUUUCAAGGUCGCAAUUAAUGCAAAUCAACAUCACUAUCUCUUGGGAAAGUAUAAGGGAGUCUAUUGCAUUGACCUUCAAGAUAAAGUUGGAAACUGUUGUCGUUUGAACAAUAUUAGGUGCAGGACCCUGGUACCACGUUGAUUACGAAACCUCAGAGAUAUUGCCAAUUAAGAACUCAUCUUUUUGUGUAAUUAAAAUGAAGUGCACCCAAUUGGGAGGCGGAGCGAACCUGGCCAGUUUGCUUUCUCUCUCACCUGGAGGGCUGUUCUUAAACCGCACCUAAUUUUAAAGUAUAAAAAAGGGGGUUUCUUUCAGAAACAGUGGAAGCUCAGCCGUGGGAUGAGCGCGCGUCGCCUCUCGGACAAGUGUUGGUCUUCUACUGUGACUGAAACGGGCUCCCCAGUCUUUUGAAGAGUGAAGAUGACGGCACGGCUCUGAGUUGAUGAUCUGGCAUCCCGCGAGGCUGGCGUGACGAUCGAACAUCUUGAUUGGCUGAGAGUCUCCCUCCAUGCUCCAAUGAUAGACGGCCGUGUCCGUAACCAGGGCAACGGUGUUAACGGAGAUCCACCUCCAGAACAGCACUUCGUCCGUCAUGAGCGAUGACUUUGCUGGCCGGGUUCAUGAUGGCGCUGUCUGCCGUGAUCGGCCGGCGGAUCGGGUUGCUCGGGUCGCUCAGGUCCACGAUCACCACCUGGUUCUGCUCGCCCACCUUCUCGCGGAUGCAGAUGAAGCGGU